rnacentral:rRNA from 1 species
AAAUUGAAGAGUUUGAUCAUGGCUCAGAUUGAACGCUGGCGGCAGGCCUAACACAUGCAAGUCGAACGGUAACAGGAAACAGCUUGCUGUUUCGCUGACGAGUGGCGGACGGGUGAGUAAUAUCUGGGAAACUGCCUGAUGGAGGGGGAUAACUACUGGAAACGGUAGCUAAUACCGCAUAACGUCGCAAGACCAAAGAGGGGGACC